GUGUUCCUCCUUCAGAAGCACAUAUACUACAAUUGGAAUGAUACAGAGAAGAUAGCAUGUACCCUGCUCUAGGAUGACAUGCAAAUUCAUGACAUGUUCUGUAUUUUU